UACGUAGGGGGCAAGCGUUGUCCGGAUUUAUUGGGCGUAAAGAGCUCGUAGGCGGUUUGGUAAGUCUGGUGUGAAAUCUCCACGCUCAACGUGGAGGGGCCACCCGAUACUGCCAUGACUGGAGUCCGGUAGAGGAGUGUGGAAUUCCCGGUGUGGCGGUGAAAUGCGCAGAGAUCGGGAGGAAGGCCGGUGGCGAAGGCGGCGCUCUGGAACAUUUCUGACGCUGAGGCUCGAAAGCGUGGGGAGCAAACAGGG
rnacentral:rRNA from 1 species